GCGCCUGCAAAAUCAGGCGUCGGGAUUGGCAUCCUGAAUACUGUUACAGGCGACACAUGACGCGCCCUGCGUCUUUUUU
rnacentral:sRNA from 1 species